rnacentral:rRNA from 1 species
CCUACGGGGGGCUGCAGUGGGGAAUAUUGGACAAUGGGGGGAACCCUGAUCCAGCCAUGCCGCGUGUGUGAAGAAGGCCCUCUGGUUGUAAAGCACUUUCAGUGAGGAAGAACGCCUGGUGGUUAAUACCCAUCAGGAAAGACAUCACUCACAGAAGAAGCACCGGCUAACUCCGUGCCAGCAGCCGCGGUAAUACGGAGGGUGCGAGCGUUAAUCGGAAUUACUGGGCGUAAAGCGCGCGUAGGUGGCUUGAUAAGCCGGUUGUGAAAGCCCCGGGCUCAACCUGGGAACGGCAUCCGGAACUGUCAAGCUAGAGUGCAGGAGAGGAAGGUAGAAUUCCCGGUGUAGCGGUGAAAUGCGUAGAGAUCGGGAGGAAUACCAGUGGCGAAGGCGGCCUUCUGGACUAACACUGACACUGAGGUGCGAAAGCGUGGGUAGCAAACAGGAUUAGAUACCCCAGUAGUC